AUUGAACGCUGGCGGCAGGCCUAACACAUGCAAGUCGAACGAGUGGCGGACGGGUGAGUAAUGUCUGGGAAACUGCCCGAUGGAGGGGGAUAACUACUGGAAACGGUAGCUAAUACCGCAUACCAUCGGAUGUGCCCAGAUGGGAUUAGCUAGUGGGUGGGGUAACGGCUCACCUAGGCGACGAUCCCUAGCUGGUCUGAGAGGAUGACCAGCCACACUGGAACGUGGACACGGCCCAGACUCCUACGGGAGGCAGCAGUGGGGAAUAUUGCACAAUGGGCGAAAGCCUGAUCCAGCCAUGCCGCGUGUAUGAAGAAGGCCUUCGGGUUGUAAAGUACUUUUGGCGAGGAGGCGUUACUCGCAGAAGAAGCACCGGCUAACUCCGUGCCAGCAGCCGCGGUAAUUC
rnacentral:rRNA from 1 species